UCUUCUCAACGAAGGGAGACUCUGCUCAGGAAGGCCUGCUGUUGGUGGGAGAGGAGCCAGCGGGGACACAGGGUCUACUGCCAUGAGCCUCGCCUCCUGCCAGCCUGGGUGGGCUCCCGUGAGACACUGAAGUGGACAGUGAGAGCCUCCAGGAGCCCCAUGCUCUCAGGAGCACAGUUAGCCCCAGGAAUUGCUUUGCUGGCUUCCAGGGCUGAACAAACAGAGAAAGAGUCUCCAACAAGCCAAAGGUUGUCCUGAAGCCCCUAGUACUUCAGAAGAGGCGGGCAGGCUGCGGGACACACAGCCCUCAGAGGUUGAGGCAGGAACAGUGUGCUUUUGAGAUUAGCCUGGGUGACACACAGGGUUCGAAGCCAGCCUGAGUUACUUAGAGUUCAAGGCCUGUCCCAGAAUCCAAAGCCAACCCAAAUCAAAACAACAGAAAGAAAGAGAAGGCAGUAUAAAACUCCAUGCCACACACCCUGAGGAGAAUGCUUUCUCAGUGGCUAUUACUGCAAGAAUUAGAAGGGAGCUGGCAGGAAUUUUUUCCCAGGUUAAAAAUCCUGACCCGAGGUUUCAUAUUCCAACAACUGCAGCACUCUCAUCUUAGUGAGCCUCACUGUUUGCAGUCAGUGGAGAGCAGCCAGACACUGGCUGUAACCAGGUCGUGCUGGCUUUGCUACUGUGUGGAAGAAGCUAGCAGCUGCCCUGAAUUGAUAUCCAUCCCUUCAGUACACUGUCAUCUGGACCGAGUCACUGGAGGAGGAAGGUAGGGAGACACUCUGCCUCGCAGCCUCGAAACUGAAACUUGAAAAGUUGGCCAAGGUCUCCAUGUGCGGGUGACCCCGCUCAGCACAGAGGCUCCCUUCCCAUGGGGUGAAGGUUCUCCCGCUAAAAGCUCCAAGCCCAGCCCGCGAAUUGCACGCCACUCAGACACGGACCGCUCAUUUCUUUGACAUUUCAAGAAUCUCAGGGACAGGCCUGUUGAGUGCUUUCUAGAGUUUUCUCGGCACACCUGGCCAUCGGGCCUUUACUCAGGUAACAGUCAAGGUUUCUUAGAGGCAGACCUUCCCAUGGAACUUAGUUUGAGGUGGAAAAUGCAUUUGUUUGUACGAGAGGCGUGGCGGUUUACGUCGGUAAUCCCGAUACUUGGAAGCUGAGGUGUGAGGAGUGUGGUGAGUUUCAAUCCAGCUGAAGCCAGGAAUUGAGAUGCGGCCGGCCUGGACUACAGAGUGAGAGCCCGUCCAGAGUCGGGGAGAGAGAAUCUGUUUGAAUCAUGUACACUUACUAGUGACAGCUGCAAUCUUUUAGAUCAUUAACAUAGUCUUCAAGAUGCAAUUUUUAUUUUAUGUGUAAAGGUGUUCUGCCUCCAUGUGUGUCUGUGCAACAAUGCACGUGGUGCCUGCAGAGGCCAGAAGAGGGCAUUGGAGCUCCUGGGACUAGAGUUUCAGACGGUUGUAACCGACCACUUGGGUGCUGGAAACCAAACCUGGGUCAGAGUAGCCAGGGUUCCUAACCCUGAGCCAUCUCUCCAGGCCUGGGUUGUGUUUUAAAAUACAUAACACAGGUUGUGAAAUGUCUUUAUUGUGUAAGAAAAUUGUUAAUAUAUGUUCACUAUAGUGCACUCUUGAGUGACUCGGGCUUAGAAUUGUUAAUACAUCUUAAUAUUCUUAUAUCAGUAUUCUUGUAUAUGUUAUUAUUAGUAACUUAUAAUCUAUUUUCAAGCGUCUCAGCAUUAUCAUUGUUAACUUUUAUGAGAUUAUUAAGUGAAUUUUCACAAACAUACAUAAACAAAUCUUCCAUUUUGGCCAUUAAAAUGUUUCAAGUUGGAUUUUUGUUCAGUAUGAACCCUUUCAAGUUUUUAGAAAAAUAUGGAAAAGCAGAAAACUCUAUUAUCUGUUUCCCCAAAACAAACGUUUAACUAUUUUCAUCAGUCUUUCUUUAUGUGUAUACAGUUUUUACAUAGUUAAAAUCUUACUUUGUAAUUUUAUGUAUUUACUGAUUCAACAUUUUAGCAGCAGCAAUUUACAUUGUUUUUUUUUUUUUUUUUUGUAUCACAAGUGUCUUUGUUUAUUUAUUUACUUUAUAUCCUGGUUGCAGCCCUUCCUCCCAUUUCCCCCCCUCCUGUUCUCCCCUUUACACUGA